CUUUGGGGUGUGACUGCGUACCUUUUGUAUAAUGGGUCAGCGACUUAUAUUCUGUAGCAAGGUUAACCGAAUAGGGGAGCCGUAGGGAAACCGAGUCUUAACCGGGCGUUAAGUUGCAGGGUAUAGACCCGAAACCCGGUGAUCUAGCCAUGGGCAGGUUGAAGGUUGGGUAACACUAACUGGAGGACCGAACCGACUAAUGUUGAAAAAUUAGCGGAUGACCUGUGGCUGGGGGUGAAAGGCCAAUCAAACCGGGAGAUAGCUGGUUCUCCCCGAAAGCUAUUUAGGUAGCGCCUCGUGAAUUCAUCUCCGGGGGUAGAGCACUGUUUCGGCUAGGGGGCCAUCCCGGCUUACCAACCCGAUGCAAACUGCGAAUACCGGAGAAUGUUAUCACGGGAGACACACGGCGGGUGCUAACGUCCGUCGUGAAGAGGGAAACAACCCAGACCGCCAGCUAAGGUCCCAAAGUCAUGGUUAAGUGGGAAACGAUGUGGGAAGGCCCAGACAGCCAGGAUGUUGGCUUAGAAGCAGCCAUCAUUUAAAGAAAGCGUAAUAGCUCACUGGUCGAGUCGGCCUGCGCGGAAGAUGUAACGGGGCUAAACCAU
rnacentral:rRNA from 1 species